UUUUCUUCAUCACUGCAACGGCGCCAAACACAGAGUAAAGGUCUCAUUUUGUUUUGGCUUUCCCUUUAACUUCGAUAAUGCCGUUUGCUCCUUCCUUGUUGUCAUCGUCUUCCUCUGUCUCUCAAUUUCUUCCCAAGUUCCCCAACUCCACUAGGUUCAAUGCAACUCCCCGGAGCAGAGUCGCCACCGUCGUCGCGGCAUCCGUCACCGACCUAGCCGGAGUCGACAGCACAACGAUCGCCGUACUCGGAGGCGGCUCCGUAGCAGCACUCGCGGCGAUGGUUUCCUUGACGGAUCCGGAGAGGAGGCGGAAAUUGCAGGCGGAGGAAGUUGGAGGAGGCGACAAGGAGGUGGUGAGGGAGUAUUUCAACAGCACUGGUUUCGAGAGGUGGAGGAAGAUCUACGGUGAUACUGAUGAAGUGAAUCGUGUUCAGAAGGAUAUCCGACUCGGCCAUGCUAAGACGGUGGAGAACACUAUGCUUAUGCUCAAAGAAGAUAGAUCAUUGGCCGGCGUCACUGUAUGUGAUGCCGGUUGUGGAACUGGUUUGCUCUCGAUUCCUCUUGCUAAGGAAGGAGCAAUCGUCUCUGCUUCCGAUAUCUCUGCUGCUAUGGUUGCCGAAGCUGAGAUGAAGGCAAAGUCACAACUACCGCCAGGGAAUUUACCAAGAUUUGAAGUGAAUGAUUUAGAGAGCUUAAAUGGGAAGUACGACACAGUGGUAUGCCUUGACGUGCUGAUACAUUACCCGCAGAACAAAGCAGACGGAAUGAUAGCGCACCUUGCUUCUUUAGCAGAGAAGAGAGUGAUUCUGAGUUUUGCUCCAAAGACGUUUUACUAUGAUAUCUUGAAGAGAAUUGGAGAGCUUUUCCCAGGGCCAUCAAAGGCCACAAGAGCUUAUCUACACUCUGAGGCGGAUGUGGAGAGAGCAUUGCGUAAAGUCGGCUGGAAAAUCAGCAAGAGAGGACUUACGACCACUCAGUUCUACUUCUCUAGGCUUAUUGAAGCUGUUCCAAUGUAGACCCAUGUAAACAAAUAGAUCUUGGGAUCAAGAAUAGGUUACGUUGCUUUCAAGAAUUGAUAUAGUGAUCACUGAUCAGGGAGAAUGGCAAGUAAAAAUUUCAAGUUUAAAAAUACUUGUGAGGAUGGUUAGCUAUCCUUUUGGGAAUUUUGCCAUAGAUCUCUGUAUAGCAUAUUCCGAGAAGGAUUUUCGUGGAAGACAUGCAUACUCCUUUGAACUCGCCCAAGAGAUUCUCAUUAGCUCUUCCUACACUUACUAGGACGGUCUGUACAAACUUGCAGACCCCAAAAUAUUGAAUUUGGCCACAUGUUUAUUGUAAUGUAAUAUGUAACGACAGCAUCCGGCGAUGAAAAGUUAGUUGUACUCU